AUACGGAGGGUGCGAGCGUUAAUCGGAAUUACUGGGCGUAAAGCGCGCGUAGGCGGUUUGGUCAGUCGGAUGUGAAAGCCCUGGGCUCAACCUGGGAAUUGCAUUCGAUACUGCCUGACUAGAGUAUGGUAGAGGGAAGUGGAAUUUCCGGUGUAGCGGUGAAAUGCGUAGAUAUCGGAAGGAACACCAGUGGCGAAGGCGACUUCCUGGGCCAAUACUGACGCUGAGGUGCGAAAGCGUGGGGAGCAAACAGGAUUAGAAACCCCGGUAGUCC
rnacentral:rRNA from 1 species